rnacentral:rRNA from 1 species
GUUGGCGGCGUGGAUUAGGCAUGCAAGUCGAGCGCGAAAGGGGAGCAAUCCCUGAGUAAAGCGGCGAACUGGUGAGUAACAGGUGGGUAAUGUGCCUUUCAGUGGGGGAUAACACUUGGAAACAGGUGCUAAUACCGCAUACGGCCCAGAGGGUGUUGACCCUUUGAGUCAAAGGUGCCAUAAGCAAUUGUGGUGUCGCUGAAAGAUCAGCCCGCCCCUGAUUAGUUAGUUGGUGGGGUAACGGCCUACCAAGACAGUGAUCAGUAGCUGGUCUAAGAGGAUGGUCAGCCACACCGGGACUGAGAUACGGCCCGGACUCCUACGGGAGGCAGCAGUCUAGAGGCUUCGGCAAUGGGGGCAACCCUGACCGAGCGACGCCGCGUGCGGGAUGAAGGUCGUGAGAUUGUAAACCGCUGUCGACAGGGAAUAAAGCCCGAAUGGUGAAUUCGGGUUUGACGGUACCUGUAGAGGAAGCCCCGGCUAACUCCGUGCCAGCAGCCGCGGUAAUACGGAGGGGGCAAACGUUGUUCGGAAUUACUGGGCGUAAAGGGUGCGUAGGCGGUUCGAUAAGUCUUGCGUGAAAUCUCUCGGCUUACCCGGGAAACUGCGCUGGAAACUGUCGAGCUCGAGGAUGGGAGAGGCAGAUGGAAUUCCUGGUGUAGCGGUGGAAUGCGUAGAUAUCAGGAAGAACACUCAUGGCGAAGGCAGUCUGCUGGCCCACACCUGACGCUGAGGCACGAAAGCCAGGGGAGCAAACGGGAUUAGAUACCCCGGUAGUCCUGGCCCUAAACGGUGAACACUAGGUGUCGGGGGUAUCGACCCCCUCGGCGCCGUAGCUAACGCGUUAAGUGUUCCGCCUGGGGAGUACGACCGCAGGGUGAAACUUAAA